AUCAACAAGAAGGUUUUGAGAAAUAUAAAGAAUAAGUCUAGAAAGAUGUAUUGUAAAUAUAUAUACAUACAUAGUUGUUGAAUUAUGCUCAGUCAACAUUGCAUAAGUGAUUCAAAUUAUAAAAAUGAAUGAAUUAUUUUCUAUGAAUUAAUAGACAGUGAAUGAAUAUAAAUUCCAUAGGAUGGUGGUGCAAAUUCCAAAUCAUUGAAGUUGAAUAAGAUGAUGUGUUAAUAGAAACUAACAAAUUGCAUUGGUGUCAAGAUAAUUUACUGGGUAAUAAAUCUGGAGAUCCACAUAUUUGAGAAAAUGAUAAUUUAUAUCCUAUCAUACCAUGUCAGAACAAUAAAUAUGGAAUAACUGAAUUCAGAUAAGUAUGGCCACAUGACAGUGAUUACAAUGGACUAUAAGCAUGGAUUGU
rnacentral:lncRNA from 1 species